ACACAUGCAAGUCGAGCGGAGUGAAUGGUUCUUUGCNUCACUUGCACCUUAGCGGCGGACGGGUGAGUAAUGCUUAGGAAUCUGCCUAUUAGUGGGGGACAACAUCUCGAAAGGGAUGCUAAUACCGCAUACGUCCUACGGGAGAAAGCAGGGGAUCACUUGUGACCUUGCGCUAAUAGAUGAGCCUAAGUCGGAUUAGCUAGUUGGUGGGGUAAAGGCCUACCAAGGCGACGAUCUGUAGCGGGUCUGAGAGGAUGAUCCGCCACACUGGGACUGAGACACGGCCCAAACUCCUACGGGAGGCAGCAGUGGGGAAUAUUGGACAAUGGGGGGAACCCUGAUCCAGCCAUGCCGCGUGUGUGAAGAAGGCCUUAUGGUUGUAAAGCACUUUAAGCGAGGAGGAGGCUCUUUUGGUUAAUACCCAAGAUGAGUGGACGUUACUCGCAGAAUAAGCACCGGCUAACUCUGUGCCAGCAGCCGCGGUAAUACAGAGGGUGCAAGCGUUAAUCGGAUUUACUGGGCGUAAAGCGCGCGUAGGCGGCCAAUUAAGUCAAAUGUGAAAUCCCCGAGCUUAACUUGGGAAUUGCAUUCGAUACUGGUUGGCUAGAGUGUGGGAGAGGAUGGUAGAAUUCCAGGUGUAGCGGUGAAAUGCGUAGAGAUCUGGAGGAAUACCGAUGGCGAAGGCAGCCAUCUGGCCUAACACUGACGCUGAGGUGCGAAAGCAUGGGGAGCAAACAGGAUUAGAUACCCUGGUAGUCCAUGCCGUAAACGAUGUCUACUAGCCGUUGGGGCCUUUGAGGCUUUAGUGGCGCAGCUAACGCGAUAAGUAAGACCGCCUGGGGGAGUACGGUCGCAAGACUAAAACUCAAAUGAAUUGACNGGGCCCGCACAAGCGGUGGAGCAUGUGGUUUAAUUCGAUGCAACGCGA
rnacentral:rRNA from 1 species